GAGUUUGAUCGUGGCUCAGAUUGAACGCUGGCGGCAUGCCUUACACAUGCAAGUCGAACGGCAGCAUGAUCUAGCUUGCUAGAUUGAUGGCGAGUGGCGAACGGGUGAGUAAUACAUCGGAACGUGCCCUGUAGUGGGGGAUAACUAGUCGAAAGAUUAGCUAAUACCGCAUACGACCUGAGGGUGAAAGUGGGGGACCGCAAGGCCUCAUGCUAUAGGAGCGGCCGAUGUCUGAUUAGCUAGUUGGUGGGGUAAAGGCCCACCAAGGCGACGAUCAGUAGCUGGUCUGAGAGGACGAUCAGCCACACUGGGACUGGGACACGGCCCAGACUCCUACGGGAGGCAGCAGUGGGGAAUUUUGGACAAUGGGCGGAAGCCUGAUCCAGCAAUGCCGCGUGUGUGAAGAAGGCCUCGGUU
rnacentral:rRNA from 1 species